GCCCUCUCCUGCCCUGCUCAUACCUGACUAGCUACCCACUGCACCAUUUCCACCCUCAAGAUUCCAAGACCCCAAAUCUUUGGGGGAAAAUGCGCAAAGUUACCCUUCUGCUGAACAUUACAAAGACACAGAAUGCUUAAAUUGUGAUCAACCUGCUUACAAAUGAGUCUAGCAUUUGUCAGACAUGCCUUUCACCUUCUGCCAUGAUUGUGAGGCCUCCUCAGCCAUGUGAAACUAGGUCCUGAGUUCUUGUCCUGUGACCAGGAAGAAUGAGGUACACAGAUAAGUGGAGGGUGAACAAGAUGAAGAGGAGCUUUGUUGAGCAAUAGAACAGCUCAGAGGAGAGCAGCAGUGAGUCAUCCUGUUCUCUUUCACAUUGUUUUAAUCUGGAACAAUAUGAAGAGUGACAUGUUUUAUAUGAACUGAUUUCCUCCAAGUUGUCUAUUGUCAUUGACUUGUAAACUCACUGGUUUCCUGCAUUCUUGUGGAUGUGAUUUUGGAGCCCUGUUAUUAGGACUUUUGCAAUAUUGGUGGAGUCACACAAAAUGACCUCAAGAUACUCUCAGAGAUCAGAAGCAGCAUGUGAGUUUCAGGCAACUGCAUUCACACUUCCUGGGACACAUAAAUGGAAAAG